rnacentral:lncRNA from 1 species
GCUGUCAAUGCACUUCUCGAGCUCCUCCAGCCGCAGUUUGAUUUUUCCUUUCCUUGUGUUAGCUACUGAAUUUUCAUUUGCACUCUAGCUCUGCACAGCUUGAGUGACUUAUGUAUUCUUUUCCCCUCUUGUAAAAAUUUCUUCUUUUUCAGCCAUUUCUAUGAGGAAGGCCAGAUUUCCACUGCUUUACUGAAGAAGGAAAGAUCAAAUGGUCUUUCUGAAGCUCUUCCUACUUCCAGUUUCUAAUUCUCUCACUCAGCUCUCAUGGGUUCAAAAGUAUCCCCGGAGCUGAGGUCAAGGUGUAUAUAAAGAAUAAGAAUGGAAAGAGCUGCCCACAUUCAAAGAAAGAGCUCAAAAUAAAAUUUCUGGUGUUAAUAUGAACCUUGUUUAU